rnacentral:rRNA from 1 species
AUUGAACGCUGGCGGCAGGCCUAACACAUGCAAGUCGAGCGGAUGGAGGGAGCUUGCUCCUGGAUUCAGCGGCGGACGGGUGAGUAAUGCCUAGGAAUCUGCCUGGUAGUGGGGGAUAACGUCCGGAAACGGGCGCUAAUACCGCAUACGUCCUGAGGGAGAAAGUGGGGGAUCUUCGGACCUCACGCUAUCAGAUGAGCCUAGGUCGGAUUAGCUAGUUGGUGGGGUAAAGGCCUACCAAGGCGACGAUCCGUAACUGGUCUGAGAGGAUGAUCAGUCACACUGGAACUGAGACACGGUCCAGACUCCUACGGGAGGCAGCAGUGGGGAAUAUUGGACAAUGGGCGAAAGCCUGAUCCAGCCAUGCCGCGUGUGUGAAGAAGGUCUUCGGAUUGUAAAGCACUUUAAGUUGGGAGGAAGGGCAGUAAGUUAAUACCUUGCUGUUUUGACGGUACCAACAGAAUAAGCACCGGCUAACUUCGUG